AACCUAGCACACCUGCGGUGUGUACCUGCGGAGGGAUCAUUAAUGAGUGUAACCUACCCUUUAAAGGUGGUACCUCCCGUCCUUUGCAGGCCCCCUUUUUUAUAUGGGGGGCCUUAUUUUUAAGACUUUCUGCUUCGGCGGGGUUAUUCCUGCCGGAACACCCUCAAAAAACUCUUAAAAAAACGGUCCAGUCCGAGAAUUUUUGAAAAUAAAAAAAUAAAACUUUUAGCAAUGGAUCUC
rnacentral:misc_RNA from 1 species